CCAAUAGCGUAUAUUAAAGUUGUUGCAGUUAAAAAGCUCGUAGUUGAAUUUCGGGAUCAGUACGCUGGUCGUGCCUUCGGUAUGCACUGGUUUCACUGAUUCCUCCCUUCUGAAGAACCGUAAUGCCAUUCAGUUGGUGUGGCGGGGAAUCAGGAUUGUUACUUUCAAAAAAUUAGAGUGUUUAAAGCAGGCUCGCGCUU
rnacentral:rRNA from 1 species